rnacentral:rRNA from 1 species
UAAUACAUGCAAGUCGAGCGGACAGAUGGGAGCUUGCUCCCUGAUGUUAGCGGCGGACGGGUGAGUAACACGUGGGUAACCUGCCUGUAAGACUGGGAUAACUCCGGGAAACCGGGGCUAAUACCGGAUGGUUGUUUGAACCGCAUGGUUCAAACAUAAAAGGUGGCUUCGGCUACCACUUACAGAUGGACCCGCGGCGCAUUAGCUAGUUGGUGAGGUAACGGCUCACCAAGGCGACGAUGCGUAGCCGACCUGAGAGGGUGAUCGGCCACACUGGGACUGAGACACGGCCCAGACUCCUACGGGAGGCAGCAGUAGGGAAUCUUCCGCAAUGGACGAAAGUCUGACGGAGCAACGCCGCGUGAGUGAUGAAGGUUUUCGGAUCGUAAAGCUCUGUUGUUAGGGAAGAACAAGUACCGUUCGAAUAGGGCGGUACCUUGACGGUACCUAACCAGAAAGCCACGGCUAACUACGUGCCAGCAGCCGCGGUAAUACGUAGGUGGCAAGCGUUGUCCGGAAUUAUUGGGCGUAAAGGGCUCGCAGGCGGUUUCUUAAGUCUGAUGUGAAAGCCCCCGGCUCAACCGGGGAGGGUCAUUGGAAACUGGGGAACUUGAGUGCAGAAGAGGAGAGUGGAAUUCCACGUGUAGCGGUGAAAUGCGUAGAGAUGUGGAGGAACACCAGUGGCGAAGGCGACUCUCUGGUCUGUAACUGACGCUGAGGAGCGAAAGCGUGGGGAGCGAACAGGAUUAGAUACCCUGGUAGUCCACGCCGUAAACGAUGAGUGCUAAGUGUUAGGGGGUUUCCGCCCCUUAGUGCUGCAGCUAACGCAUUAAGCACUCCGCCUGGGGAGUACGGUCGCAAGACUG